AAUGAACGCUGGCGGCAGGCCUAACACAUGCAAGUCGAACGGGAUCUUCGGAUCUAGUGGCGGACGGGUGAGUAACGCGUGGGAACGUGCCCUUUGCUUCGGAAUAGCCCCGGGAAACUGGGAGUAAUACCGGAUGUGCCCUUUGGGGGAAAGAUUUAUCGGCAAAGGAUCGGCCCGCGUUGGAUUAGGUAGUUGGUGGGGUAAUGGCCUACCAAGCCGACGAUCCAUAGCUGGUUUGAGAGGAUGAUCAGCCACACUGGGACUGAGACACGGCCCAGACUCCUACGGGAGGCAGCAGUGGGGAAUCUUAGACAAUGGGGGAAACCCUGAUCUAGCCAUGCCGCGUGAUCGAUGAAGGCCUUAGGGUUGUAAAGAUCUUUCAGAUGGGAAGAUAAUGACGGUACCAUCAGAAGAAGCCCCGGCUAACUCCGUGCCAGCAGCCGCGGU
rnacentral:rRNA from 1 species